UACGAAGGGGGCGAGCGUUGUUCGGAUUUACUGGGCGUAAAGGGCGCGCAGGCGGCUAUUUUUUGUCAGGCGUGAAAGCCCCGGGCUUAACCUGGGAAUGGCAUUUGGGACUGCAAGGCUGGAGUUUGGCAGAGGGGGGUGGAAUUCCACGUGUAGCAGUGAAAUGCGUAGAGAUGUGGAGGAACACCGAUGGCGAAGGCAGCCCCCUGGGCUAAC
rnacentral:rRNA from 1 species